rnacentral:rRNA from 1 species
UACGAAGGGGGCGAGCGUUGUUCGGAAUUACUGGGCGUAAAGGGCGCGUAGGCGGCCCCUUUUGUCGCGUGUGAAAGCCCCGGGCUCAACCUGGGAACGGCGCGCGAAACGGGGGGGCUUGAGUUCGGGAGAGGAGAGUGGAAUUCCAGGUGUAGCGGUGAAAUGCGUAGAUAUCUGGAGGAACACCGGUGGCGAAGGCGGCAUCCUGGACCAAUUCUGACGCUGAGGAGCGAAAGCCAGGGGAGCAAACGGG